GCCCUCCGAUGUCCCCCGCCGCCCCCGGGCAGCCGGCCUGCGGGCUGGAGCGGGGGUCUCUUCCUCGGCGGUCCGCGCGGGCUCGGCCCCUUCAGGAGUCCGCCGCAGCGGCGCAGGGACGCGGCGCUCCGGAGUUUCGCCCUUCCCGCUGCUCCAUGGACGCGCAGAGGCAGCCCCGCUCCUCCGGCGGCUCAGGCCAGCCGGGCCGGCCCGGCGCAGCGGCGGGGGCCGCGCUCUGCCAUCGCACCGGUCUCCCUGUCCCUGGCCUCUCAAUGCAGCGGCUCUUCAAGGUUGCAGAGCGCAGCCUUCAGCCAUGCCGGCCACUCGCCCCAGCCCCCGCCGUGGCUCUCGCACAAACACCCAGACUCUGGCUCGCUGUCUCCCAGCCGCGGCUCAAUCUCUUCCCGUCCUUUUCCCUUCUAGGGUUGCACGCUCUGGUUCCCAAGCCCCCGGCCGCUGGCUUAUGCAAAUCACUUAGGUACAUGCAAAAGUAUCCCUUCUCCCGGAGCGCCAUUGGCCCGGGGAGGUCUCGAGCUCAUUACUAUGCAGAGAGGAGAGCCGCCAUUGGCCAAGAGGAGGACCAGAGGGGCGUGUUUCUCGGGCAAAUUGGAUCUCCUAAAUUGGAUGACCUGGUAAGUAGAACUUCCCUCCAGCGUUCAGUUA
rnacentral:lncRNA from 1 species